rnacentral:rRNA from 1 species
AGUAACGCGUGAGUAACCUGCCUCAUACAACGGGAUACCUGAGGGAAACUUCAGUUAAUACGGUAUAAGACCACACUGCCGCAUGGCAGAGGGGUAAAAGGAGCAAUCCGGUAUGAGAUGGACUCGCGUCGCAUUAGCUAGUUGGUGAGGUAACGGCCCACCAAGGCGACGAUGCGUAGCCGACCUGAGAGGGUGAUCGGCCACAUUGGGACUGAGACACGGCCCAGACUCCUACGGGAGGCAGCAG